AACGCACAUUGCGCUUCCCGGUCCUCUGGGGAGCAUACCUGUUUCAGAAUCGCACUUACCCUCCUCCCCUGGGAAGGUGGCAACUCUGGAGGCCGUCUUCGGGCGGCGCCGGACUGCCUCCUUUUCCAAGGAAGGGACUUUUGAGCGUUUUCCGCUGCGCUUCGGCGUGGUGGAAUCGCUUCAAUGCGAUGGGUAUUGGCAGAGAUAGCCUUUCACUAGGCAUCCGCCAUACAUGCCCGCAGAAUGCGAUAAAUCUAUUUGAACAUUCCUGCUGACUGUAUGCGGCAUUUCGGUUGAUAUCAUAAGUAGGUCUUCCAGGAGACCAACACAGAGACAGCUCUCGUGCAAUGUGCAUAUGAGCGACUCUUACUUUGAUCUGAAAUCAGGCAAGAAAACCCGCUGAACUUAA
rnacentral:misc_RNA from 1 species